GACUACAGCUGAAGUAUAUUGUGAGCUUGGAGAGGUCCUGAAACUGGCCACUUUUUGAAAGGGAGGUUCAAAGUUUGAGGAGAAGAGGAGGAAUUAAGAGGAAGCGACGGCGAAGAAGGGCAAAGGGAGGUGUACAAAGGAAAUGGACAGUGAGAUGAGUGACCAGGUAAAUGAUAAAGUAAUUAUGCCAAUGUUUUAAAUCAAUUCAUGAAGAUCCCAGUUCUGUGUUGAAUUUGCAAUUAUAAACACUCGAUUGUAUUGUACAUAUGUCCCGGCAAGAAAUCUGCGUUCAAAGAACUCCGGCUUAUUAUUGAUACCCAGAGCCCAAAAAAAGUCUGCGGGCUAUAGAGCGUUUUCUAUUCAGGCUCCAGUACUAUGGAAUGCCCUCCCGGUAACAAUUAGAGAUGCUACCUCAGUAGAAGCAUUUAAGUCCCAUCUUAAAACUCAUUUGUAUACUCUAGCCUUUAAAUAGACCCCUCUUUUAGACCAGUUGAUAUGCCGUUUCUUUUUUCUCCUCUGCUCCCCUCUUCCUUGUGGAGGGGGGGGGGGGGGGGGCACAGGUCCGGUGGCCAUGGAUGAAGUGCUGGCUGUCCAGAGUCGGGACCCGUGGUGGAACGCUCACCUGUGCAUCGGCUGGGAACAUCUCUGCGCUGCUGACCCGUCUCCGCUCGGGAUGGUGUCCUGCUGGCCCCACUAUGGACUGGACUCUUACUAUAAUGUCAGACCCACUCGACAUCCAUUGCAUUCGGUCUCCCCUAGAGGGGGGGGGUUACCCACAUAUGCGGUCCUCUCCAAGGUUUCUCAUAGUCAUUCACAUUGACGUCCCACUGGGGUGAGUUUUCCCUUGCCCUUAUGUGGGCUUUGUACCGAGGAUGUCAUUGUGGCUUGUGCAGCCCUUUGAGACACUUGUGAUUUAGGGCUAUAUAAAUAAACAUUGCUUGAUUGAUUGAUUGAAACACUUGCAGGAAGCGACGGCGAAGAAGGGCAAAGGGAGGUGUACAAAGGAAUAGGACAGUGAUAUGAGUGACCAGGAAGCGACGGCGAAGAAGGGCAAAGGGAGGUGUACAAAGGGAAUGGACAGUGAGAUGAGUGACCAGGAAGUGAAGAAGAAGAAAACAGGGAAAGGGAAAAGAACCAAGCAAACGCCAGUGAGACCAGUGAGCAUUGAGCAGGUAAACAAGGAGUAAAUUAUGCCAUGUUUUAAUUGAAUUCAAUUCAUCUACAUUCCAGUGCUGUCUUUGUUGUAUUUGUGAAUAUCUAUAAUUAU